rnacentral:rRNA from 1 species
CACGUGGUAACCUACCUUCAAGCUGGGGGAUAACGUUUGGAAACGAAACGCUAAUACCGAAUAAGAUAUAGCAAUAUAUUGAAAGAAGCCUUUAAAGCUUCACUUAAAGAUGGGCCUGCGGCGUAUUAACUAGUUGGUGAGGUAAUGGCUCACCAAGGUAACGAUGCGUAGCCGAACUGAGAGGUUGAACGGCCACACUGGGACUGAGACACGGCCCAGACUCCUACGGGAGACAGCAGUUAGGAAUAUUCGUCAAUGGGGGAAACCCUGAACGAGCAAUGCCGCGUGAGUGAUGAAGGCCCUAUGGGUUGUAAAACUCUGUUGUAUGGGAAGAACGGCCAUAUUAGGAAAUGGAUAUGGAGUGACGGUACCAUACCAGAAAGCUCCGGCUAACUACGUG